ACUGUGAUCGUGGGCAAGAAAGGGGGACUCACAGCUUGGAAGAAGGUAGAACUCAGCUGCUAGGGAAGUACUUCACUCUUCAUUAUACUGGCCGAGUAAAAGGGGAACGUAUCAUCAUCAGCUUACUUCUAAAGCUACACAAAUGAGAAACUGCAACGCUGAGACUUGUAUGAAGGGACUCACCCAAGGCCACACUGCAGUUCAGCCUUUGAUAGAGGCUGGACCAAGAGCUCAAAGCAAGCCUAGCUCUUUGUAAUAUAGGAGAUUCUCCUUCUGAAAGUAUCACCAUUGCCUAGUGGACUGUUUGACUUAACCCCGUUGCAGGUGAAUCAUUUGUAGAACAGCUUGCGCCUGUUUCCAAAUGAGUGCUUAAAGCCUGGGAAAAAACAAAGCAUGCUGCAGUCUAUGGCUGUAGCGGAAGCUAUGUGGAAGCCUGGAGCAAAGAAGGAAUAAAAAUUAAUGUGGGAAUCCUCUGGCAGUGCUAUGUUUUGAACACUUCCCUGUCAUUACAAUAAACAGGUACUUUUACUUAA